UGUGACGAGACCAAUCUCGCCACAUUGCAUUGGAGAAGCCUGGUUGCCCGCCUGUUGCCUCUGGACUAUGGCCCCAUGUUAAAAAGCUUGAUUUUCCCCUGCAAAGACACGAAAGCCGGGUCAUUCGGUGCUUGCCCUGUUUGAGCGGUGAUACCCCAGAUAGCUAUGCCAUGGAGCCCAUUCGUAUAAUGAAAGACUAUGGGAAAGACUUUGGCUCCAUGGCAAUUGAACUGUAUGUGUGUGCUCUGAG